UAGGGUUUGAUCCUGGCUCAGAUUGAACGCUGGCGGAAUGCUUUACACAUGCAAGUCGAACGGUAACAGGUCUUCGGAUGCUGACGAGUGGCGAACGGGUGAGUAAUAUAUCGGAACGUGCCCAGUCGUGGGGGAUAACGUAGCGAAAGUUACGCUAAUACCGCAUACGAUCUACGGAUGAAAGCGGGGGAUCGCAAGACCUCGCGCGAUUGGAGCGGCCGAUAUCAGAUUAGGUAGUUGGUGGGGUAAAGGCUCACCAAGCCAACGAUCUGUAGCUGGUCUGAGAGGACGACCAGCCACACUGGAACUGAGACACGGUCCAGACUCCUACGGGAGGCAGCAGUGGGGAAUUUUGGACAAUGGACGCAAGUCUGAUCCAGCCAUUCCGCGUGCAGGAUGAAGGCCCUCGGGUUGUAAACUGCUUUUGUACGGAACGAAAAGGUCUCUCUUAAUACGGGGGGCUCAUGACGGUACCGUAAGAAUAAGCACCGGCUAACUACGUGCCAGCCGCCGCGGUAAUAC
rnacentral:rRNA from 1 species